rnacentral:rRNA from 1 species
UACAGAGGUCUCAAGCGUUGUUCGGAUUCAUUGGGCGUAAAGGGUGCGUAGGUGGCGAUGUAAGUCUGGUGUGAAAUCUCGGGGCUCAACCUCGAAAUUGCAUUGGAUACUGCGUUGCUUGAGGAUUGUAGAGGAGAGUGGAAUUCACGGUGUAGCAGUGAAAUGCGUAGAUAUCGUGAGGAAGACCAGUUGCGAAGGCGACUCUCUGGGCAAUUCCCGACACUGAGGCACGAAGGCCAGGGGAGCAAACGGG